rnacentral:rRNA from 1 species
GAUGAACGCUGGCGGCGUGCCUAACACAUGCAAGUCGAGCGAACGGACGCGGCGCUUGCUUCUCUGAUGUUUGCGGCGGGCGGGUGAGUAACAUGUGUAUCACCUACCUAUAAGACUGGGAUAACUUCGGGAAACCGGCUCUAAUACCGGAUAAUAUUUUGAAGCGCAUGGUUCAAUAGUGAAAGACGGUCUUGCUGUCACUUAUAGAUGGAUCCGAGCUGCAUUAGCUAGUUGGUAAGGUCAAGGCUUUCCAAGGCGACGAUGCAUAGCCGACGUGAGAGGGUGAUCGGCCACCCUGGAAGUUAGCCACGCUCCAGACUCCUACGGUAGGCAGCAGUAGCGAAUCUUCCGCAAUGGGCGGGAGCCUGACGGAGCGGGGCCGAGUGAGUUAUGACAGUCUUGGGAUCGGAAAGCCCUGUUACGAGGGGAGAACCGAUGUGGCAUGAACCGAGGCGAUAGUGACGGUACCGGAUCAAGAAGCAACGGCUAACUACGUG